AUACGGAGGGUGCGAGCGUUAAUCGGAAUUACUGGGCGUAAAGCGUGCGUAGGCGGUUUGCUAAGUCAGAUGUGAAAGCCCCGGGCUUAACCUGGGAACUGCAUUUGAUACUGGCAGACUAGAGUAUGAUAGAGGGGGGUAGAAUUCCUGGUGUAGCGGUGAAAUGCGUAGAUAUCAGGAGGAAUACCAGUGGCGAAGGCGGCCCCCUGGAUCAAUACUGCCGCUGAGGUACGAAAGCGUGGGGAGCGAACAGGAUUAGAAACCCUAGUAGUCC
rnacentral:rRNA from 1 species